UUAAGUGACUAAGCGUACAAGGUGGAUGCCUUGGCAAUCAGAGGCGACGAAGGACGUGCUAAUCUGCGAAAAGCUUGGAUGAGUCGAUAAGAGGCGUUUAAUCCAAGAUGUCCGAAUGGGGAAACCCAGUAGAUGAAGAAUCUACUAUCACUUACUGAAUCCAUAGGUAAGUGAGGCAAACCGGGAGAACUGAAACAUCUAAGUACCCCGAGGAAAAGAAAUCAACCGAGAUUUCGUUAGUAGCGGCGAGCGAACGCGAAGGAGCCUGUUAGUGAUAAUGACAGAGACAGAGGAACAAGCUGGGAAGCUUGGCGAUACAGGGUGAUAGCCCCGUACUCGAAGUCCAGGUCAUGGUACUAAGCUAACGAUAAGUAGGGCGGGACACGUGAUAUCCUGUUUGAAGAUGGGGGGACCAUCCUCCAAGGCUAAAUACUCCUGAUUGACCGAUAGUGAACCAGUACUGUGAAGGAAAGGCGAAAAGAACCCCGGUGAGGGGAGUGAAAUAGAACCUGAAACCUUGUACGUACAAGCAGUGGGAGCCCUUUAAGGGUGACUGCGUACCUUUUGUAUAAUGGGUCAGCGACUUAUAUUUUGUAGCGAGGUUAACCGAAUAGGGGAGCCGAAGGGAAACCGAGUCUUAACUGGGCGUCUAGUUGCAAGGUAUAGACCCGAAACCCGGUGAUCUAGCCAUGGGCAGGUUGAAGGUUGGGUAACACUAACUGGAGGACCGAACCGACUAAUGUUGAAAAAUUAGCGGAUGACUUGUGGCUGGGGGUGAAAGGCCAAUCAAACCGGGAGAUAGCUGGUUCUCCCCGAAAUCUAUUUAGGUAGAGCCUUGAGCGGACACCUUCGGGGGUAGAGCACUGUUUCGGCUAGGGGUCCAUCCCGGAUUACCAACCCGAUGCAAACUACGAAUACCGAAGAGUGAUACUCAGGAGACACACGGCGGGUGCUAACGUCCGUCGUGGAGAGGGAAACAACCCAGACCGCCAGCUAAGGUCCCAAAGUCUAUAUUAAGUGGGAAACGAGGUGGGAAGGCUUAGACAGCUAGGAUGUUGGCUUAGAAGCAGCCAUCAUUUAAAGAAAGCGUAAUAGCUCACUAGUCGAGUCGGCCUGCGCGGAAGAUGUAACGGGGCUCAAAUAUAGCACCGAAGCUGCGGCAUCAGACGAAAGUCUGUUGGGUAGGGGAGCGUUCUGUAAGCGGAUGAAGGUGGCUCGAGAGGGCUGCUGGACGUAUCAGAAGUGCGAAUGCUGACAUAAGUAACGAUAAAACGGGUGAAAAACCCGUUCGCCGGAAGACCAAGGGUUCCUGUCCAACGUUAAUCGGGGCAGGGUGAGUCGGCCCCUAAGGCGAGGCUGAAAAGCGUAGUCGAUGGGAAACGGGUUAAUAUUCCCGUACUUGGAUAAACUGCGAUGUGGGGACGGAGCAGGUUAGGUUAUCGCACUGUUGGAUAUGUGCGUUUAAGUUGGUAGGUGUGAAGUUUAGGCAAAUCCGGACUUCUUUAACACUGAGAGAUGAUGACGAGGCUCUACGGAGCUGAAGUAACCGAUACCACACUUCCAGGAAAAGCCACUAAGCUUCAGGUUUAUCUAAACCGUACUGAAAACCGACACAGGUGGUCAGGUAGAGAAUACUCAGGCGCUUGAGAGAACUCGGGUGAAGGAACUAGGCAAAAUAGCACCGUAACUUCGGGAGAAGGUGCGCCGGCGUAGAUUGUAGUCCCUUGCGGGCGAAGGUUGAACCGGUCGAAGAUACCAGCUGGCUGCAACUGUUUAUUAAAAACACAGCACUCUGCAAACACGAAAGUGGACGUAUAGGGUGUGAUGCCUGCCCGGUGCUGGAAGGUUAAUUGAUGGUGUAAUCGAAAGAGAAGCUCCUGAUCGAAGCCCCAGUAAACGGCGGCCGUAACUAUAACGGUCCUAAGGUAGCGAAAUUCCUUGUCGGGUAAGUUCCGACCUGCACGAAUGG
rnacentral:rRNA from 1 species